GCGAGGCAGGUACCUGCAAAAACAGUUCCCCAAGCUGAUGUGGCGGAAUCGCCACGUUCCCACCCAGCCCCGUAACCUCAAGUCCAACCACAGCCCCACAACCGUUCACGUGAAGUGUUCUCUCACGAGUGCUCUCUCACCGAGUGCUCUCUCACACGUCCCUGUGCCACAGGCCCCCCCUCUCUGCAGCUCCCUGCUGCAGAGCUCCGGCUCUGCCCUUCAGCCGCACUUCAGCUCCCUCCUCAAACCAUUUGCCAAUGCUGGGACCAAGUGACGGCCAGGAGCAUUGCACCUCUUCACCUCCAAGACCUUCAGGUGCUUCACAAGUUAGAUAAAUCCUUUCUCCAACCCAAGUGACUGUGAAAAGCUUUGUUUGCCAGUGAAGCAGAAAACAAGGCAGGUUUCAAAAAAAACCCUGAACUGGCGUGUGCCUGCCACUCUUCCACCUUUGGGAAUCCCAUGCUUGCCAAGCUCCCAGUGACCUCCCUGCUCCCAGAUCCGUGCCACCAGCUCCUCUGGUGCUGUACACACCCCUCUGGCACCAGGCUGAGGAAUUGAUCCUAAGUUCACAAGUGGGUUGGCUUGGAUGGACACCCUUGCUCGCCCUGACAGUGGCUGGGACACUGAGGUUCCAGCCGCCGUGCAGCCACCCUGCGUGCCGAGGAGGUCCUCGCCUAGUCUACUGCUGCUGCGCCUCCGGGGUGAUGCUUGGGCAGAUCAGUAGAUGACUUUUGCCAUCUUAUAAUUUUGGGUACCCCUUCACUUUGGUCAUCAACAAAGCUUCACCAGGUGAAGUUAACCCAGGGAGGGUUAGGUCACCAGGAGCUCCACGAUUUCCCCCCAACCCCUGCUUGCAGCCAGACGCGCUGAAUGGCACAGCACCAGCUUUCCAAGACACAAGCAGCUGCUUCGCCGUUACUGGCACUGCGGUGCAAAACGGUGUCUCUCCAAGCUGACUGACAGGACUCGGCUCUCAGAGGAUGGAGGAAUCGUGGGAUGCCAGAAGGACAACUGGGAAAUCUGUCCUCAAAUCCCAGGCUUCCUGCACCCAGCAGAGCAGCACAGAAAAGAGCCCCCCUGCUAUCCAGCACCCACCGGUGGGACCCACCAGCCUGGAAUUCCCAGCCUGAACGCUGCUGCCUUGUGCAAAAGUCGUGGCUGCCUUGGGCAUGGACGCUUGGGGAGGGAUGUGGCGGCAGCUGCCGUGCUGAUACAGCUGCUCCGGAGCGGCACCCAAAAUCCCAGCCUCGAUCAACACCCCGGUCGCUCCCUCCUUUGUAAACAAGCUUUUGAGCACCUGCCUGGAGGUCUAAAACGGGACUGUUUCUGAGCCUGAAAUACUCCUAUGGAAAAGAACUGCGUGUUUCUGUAAGGAAAGGUCUCUGCUCAGUUGAAAUUCUAAGCCAGACUAAAGCCACUUCAGAUCUCUGGUCCUGGACAAAGCUUUGUCACAGGAAGACAGGAAAGAAAACGGUAGCCAAAGUAAUCCCAGGAAAAACACACUAAUGAAGGUUUGCAGAUUCCAGUGCAGCAGCUAAAUCAACACGUUGUUUUGCCAAGAAACCAUUGUGAAAUCUGCGGUUUCCUCUUUGAUCCUAAGCCUACCCUACCCAACCUAUUCAUAACCAGUAUCGGUACACAGAAAUGAUUGUAAGGCUCACAUCGGCUGGUCGGUGAGCUUCUGAGAAUAAACAGGUUGUUCCGUCUUGUCACAGCUGGCUACUAGACUUUUCUGGCAUACGUCUGCACUGUACUGAACCUUGAAACAAAAAUGGAAGGUGUAAAAUACUACGUAUGAAACACACUAAGAAGAGUAUGAAAUUCUGAAGCUCCUCUCUCUUUCCCCUGGGCAGAUACCAUGGAAAUGGCAUUGGAAUAUUAAAACUCUUCAUUCUCUUUAUAA